GGCUGCAUAGUAUAAUGGUAAUCAGCACCCCUGGUCUCUGAGUACAUUGGAGAUUACCAGGCCUUGCUAAGGUCAAGGGUUCAAACCCCGGUGAAGCCA